UACCCUACUGAUGCCCGC
rnacentral:snRNA from 1 species